ACUGUUUCCUCAUCUCCUACCUGUGUGUCAGUUAUUACUGUCCCUUCAUAUCCCCCCAUGUCAGCAGGGCUGGUGCAAGGAUUUUUGCCACCCAAGGCAAAAGCUAAUUUUGCCACCACCUUGACUCUGCCCAUUGGCCCACCCUUUGACAUGCCCCAAUUUAAUACUGGGUGACACCUUGUAACAAGCCCCCUUCUCAUGUAAUUAGUCUACUACUGGGGUGACACACUGAAACAAACCUCCUUCUCAUGCUGCUGGAUAACCAAGUGGUUCAGAUGCUGGUUGUCUAACUUUCUUGUGGCAGGCAGAGCGGCGCCCCCUAUCAAGAGGGCGCUCUAUGCGGCUGCCUAUUUUGCCUAUAGGCAGAGACGGCCCUGUGUGUCAAUUAUUACUGUCCCUUCAUAUCCCCCCUGUAUGUCAUCUAUUACUGUUCCCUCAUAUUUCCCUGUGUGUCACAGCCAUCAGUGUCCCUUCAUCUCUCCCUGUGUGUCACAGUUAAUAAUUUCUCCUCAUCUCUCCCUUUGUGUCACAGUCAUUACUGUCCCCUCAUCUUCCCCGUCUGUCAGUUAUUAAUGCCCCCUCAUCUUCCUGCUGUGUGUCAGUUAUUAAUGUCCUCAAAGCUGCUGACUGGCUGCAGCAGUCACCUGAUGUAUGCAGCUUCUGUAACACAGCAGGCUGAACGGAGGAUCAGCGCAGGAAUGGAGGCAGAGAACUCAGCUAAUUGCUGACUGCAGCAUCGGGUAGAAGAUCGGGAGAUCGCUGAGGCUGGCGAUUAGUUGACCGCAGUGGGAUGUACCGGGUCCCAAAAGCAGGAAGAAGACCGGGGCUGGAGGACGGGAGAGCAAUACAAGUAGCACUAAGGAAGCGACGGUAUUCUUCUCAUGUGCCAAGAAAUACAUGUUGAAGUUAUUUAAUCAUUCUACAAAAUAUUGUCUCUGGAGAAUAUGUGAUCAGUCUAGAACGGUAUCCUCAAGUGCCCCUAACAACAGGGAAUAUAAGUACACAGGACUGUUUUCACAAGACUUCUUAAGCAACAUAAUAAAUGUUUAAAAAUU